rnacentral:siRNA from 1 species
AUAUUCGACUCCAAACACUAAC